rnacentral:tRNA from 1 species
AUUUAAAUAGUUUAACAAAAAUGUUGGCUUGUGGUGCCGGAGAUAUAAUUAAUUAUUUUAAAUU